UGAGUACGAGAUGCUACGGCAUCGAAGCAGUCUAUGUCAUACUUCCAAGAAAAGCUUGCACUGUCAGAAACAGAUAAUGCCUGUACCAUAACCGACACAGGUGGGUAGGUAGAGUAUACUAAGGGGCGCGAGAUAACUCUCUCUAAGGAACUCGGCAAAAUGACUCCGUAACUUCGGGAGAAGGAGUGCCUUAUUUUUAAGGUUGCAAUAACAAGAUCCAAGCAACUGUUUACCAAAAACACAGGUCUCCGCUAAGUCGUAAGACGAUGUAUGGGGGCUGACGCCUGCCCAGUGCCAGAAGGUUAAAGAAGUCGGUUAGCAUUCGCGAAGCUGGUAACUGAAGCCCUGGUGAACGGCGGCCGUAACGAUAACGGUCCUAAGGUAGCGAAAUUCCUUGUCGGGUAAGUUCCGACCCGCACGAAAGGCGUAAUGAUUUGGAUACUGUCUCGGAGAGGGGCUCGGUGAAAUAGACUUGUCUGUGAAGAUGCGGACUACCUGCACCUGGACAGAAAGACCCUAUGAAGCUUUACUGUAACUUGAAAUUGAAAUUGGACUUUAUUUGCGCAGUAUAGGUGGGAGGCGUUGAAAAUAUUCUUGCGGGAAUAUUGGAGCCAUCAGUGAGAUACCACUCUUGUAAUGUUAGAUUUCUAACUUUAUAUCGUUAUCUGGUUAAAGAACGGUUUCAGGCGGGCAGUUUGACUGGGGCGGUCGCCUCCCAAAUGGUAACGGAGGCGCACAAAGGUUUCCUCUGAACGGGUAGAAAUCGUAUCUAGAGUGUAAAGGCAUAAGGAAGCUUGACUGUGAGACCUACAAGUCGAGCAGGGACGAAAGUCGGUCUUAGUGAUCUGACGGUGCUGAGUGGAAAGGCCGUCACUCAACGGAUAAAAGUUACUCUAGGAUAACAGGCUGAUCUCCCCCAAGAGUUCACAUCGACGGGGAGGUUUGGCACCUCGAUGUCGGCUCAUCGCAUCCUGGGGCGGUAGUACGUCCCAAGGGUUGGGCUGUUCGCCCAUGAAAGCGGUACGCGAGCUGGGUUCAGAACGUCGUGAGACAGUUCGGUCCAUAUCCGGUGUAGGCGUUAGAAUAUUGAGAGGAGCCUUCUUUAGUACGAGAGGACCGAGAAGGACAUACCUCUGGUGUACCAGUUAUCGUGCCAACGGUAAACGCUGGGUAGCUAUGUAUGGAGUGGAUAACCGCUGAAAGCAUCUAAGUGGGAAGCCCACCUCAAGAUAAGUAUUCUCAC
rnacentral:rRNA from 1 species